rnacentral:rRNA from 1 species
CACGUAGGGCGCAAGCGUUGUCCGGAAUUAUUGGGCGUAAAGAGCUCGUAGGCGGUCUGUUGCGUCCGCUGUGAAAACUCGGGGCUUAACCCCGAGCCUGCAGUGGAUACGGGCAGACUAGAGGUAGGUAGGGGAGAAUGGAAUUCCCGGUGUAGCGGUGAAAUGCGUAGAUAUCGUAAGGAAGACCAGUGGCGAAGGCGGGGUCUCUGGACAGUUCCUGACGCUGAGGCACGAAGGUCAGGGGGAGCAAACGGGG